UACAGAGGUCCCGAGCGUUGUUCGGAUUCAUUGGGCGUAAAGGGUGCGUAGGCGGCGGGGCAAGUCUGAUGUGAAAUCCCGGGGCUCAACCCCCGGAACUGCAUUGGAUACUGCCUUGCUUGAGUACUGGAGAGGGAACUGGAAUUUACGGUGUAGCAGUGAAAUGCGUAGAGAUCGUAAGGAAGGCCAGUGGCGAAGGCGGGUCUCUGGACAGUUCCUGACGCUGAGGCACGAAGGUCAGGGGAGCAAACGGG
rnacentral:rRNA from 1 species